rnacentral:ncRNA from 1 species
UUAAAGGCGAUGAUAGAAAUAAGUAGUUAUGAAAAUCAUAAAGAGAGCUGAUGGUUGGUGUAAAUCAGUUGAGGAACAUAAUGAAAUACAUUCUUGAGCUUUAGGCUGAACUUAAAUUUUAAUAGUAGGCUGAUACGGCACUUCUUACGUUACAAGAUAUGAGUGGAUUUUUUACAAAAUCAAUUUGGGUGGUACCACGGAAAAUUUCGUCCCUAGU